GGAGAGGUGGCAGAGUGGUCGAAUGCACCGCACUCGAAAUGCGGCAUACCGGCAACGGUAUCGGGGGUUCGAAUCCCUCCCUCUCCG
rnacentral:tRNA from 1 species